rnacentral:rRNA from 1 species
CCCUUAGAUGUUCUGGGCCGCACGCGCGCUACUCUGAUGCAUUCAACGAGCCUAUCCUUGACCGACAGGUCCGGGUAAUCUUUGAAUCUGCAUCGUGACGGGGAUAGAUUAUUGCAAUUAUUAAUCUUCAACGAGGAAUGCCUAGUAGGCGCAAGUCAUCAGCUUGCGUCGAUUACAUCCCUGCCCUUUGUACACACCGCCCGUCGCUCCUACCGAUUGGGUGUGCUGGUGAAAUGUUCGGAUCGGCCGUUUGUCGCGGUUUCCGCGUCAUGUGGCUGAGAAGUUCAUUAAACCCUCCCACCUAGAGGAAGGAGAAGUCGUAACA